rnacentral:rRNA from 1 species
UACCAGCACCCCCGAGUGGUCGGGACGAUUAUUGGGCCUAAAGCAUCCGUAGCCGGUUCUACAAGUCUUCCGUUAAAUCCACCUGCUUAACAGAUGGGCUGCGGAGGAUACUAUAGAGCUAGGAGGCGGGAGAGGCAAGCGGUACUUAGUGGGUAGGGGUAAAAUCCGUUGAUCCAUUGAAGACCACCAGUGGCGAAGGCGGCUUGCCAGAACGCACUCGACGGUGAGGGAUGAAAGC